UACGGGGGGGGCAAGCGUUGUUCGGAAUUACGGGGCGUAAAGGGCUCGUAGGCGGCCAACUAAGUCAGACGUGAAAUCCCUCGGCUUAACCGGGGAACUGCGUCUGAUACUGGAUGGCUUGAGAUUGGGAGAGGGAUGCGGAAUUCCAGGUGUAGCGGUGAAAUGCGUAGAUAUCUGGAGGAACACCGGUGGCGAAGGCGGCAUCCUGGACCAACACUGACGCUGAGGAGCGAAAGCCAGGGGAGCAAACGGG
rnacentral:rRNA from 1 species